rnacentral:lncRNA from 1 species
UGAACAUAAGUUGUUUAUCUUUUGGUUAUUCAAUAUUUAUACAAUUUCAUGCUUGAUUCCAUUAUUGCUUUGUUAUUAUGGUCAAUGUGGCCACUUGAUUUUUGAUUGCAAGGUAAUAUAUUGUUAGUUUGAAUAAUUUUGAGUCCGUAAUUGCUUGGAUUGUUCAAACACAAGAACACUUGGUGUAAAAACUAAGAAAAUUGUAUGAUCUAGCAACAUCUCCAUGUGUUUGGGUAGUUAGGAUUGGAUCUCUCUAUUUCUUAAUGCAAUUGACAGUUGUUUUGAUGCCUAAGGCCCAAGGACGUUCCUUGGCAACUUGUUGAUUAGUAAUUAAUUAGAGGACGUUCCCUAAUUGGUUUGUGAUUAAGGAG